UGAAUAAUUACUCAGUUUUGCUGUCUAAUACAGUUAAUGCAUAAUCUGAAGUGAUUUCCUAUAUUAGAUCUUAGUAGUUUGCAUUUGUAAUAGUCUUUAGUGAUGUAUCUGCAACACCAUUACAUCACUCAUACUUUGAAAGUACUAAAACCCGUCUCACAGGCCCUGAAAACGAUAUUCUACUUAAAAAGGCCUCAUCAGUCCCUUCCAGGGCAGUACUUAUCAGUGUUGCUGUCAUUACCACCCAUGUCUCCCCUAUCAUUUUGCAGGCAUCACUGCUUUGGUUAGAAACAGCAAGAGAAAAUCCAGCUUCUGAACAAAAGGGGAGCUAUGUAUAAAUCAAUCUGUAGGUACAGUUGAUAAGAAUUGCUUUGGCUGGUACAAGCUUAUUCCACUUUGGAGAAUGUAUUUUUUUGUGUCCGCAUAAGAACUCCCAUCAGUAAGGUGCAGUUCUGCUAACAGUGUGUGUUAGGAUAGUGUAUUAUCCAUACCUUCAGUUACAGGGAAGCUUUAAAUCUGCAUUCAGCCCAGCGAGAGGACCAUCUCUCUACCAGCAUCUCUGACUUCCAGUGGGUUUUGGUCCACGUUAUGUCUUGUUUCUGUUAUCCUACUCCAUAGUAGAGUCAAAUUGGUUUCUACAUAUAUCUGAAACUUAGUUGCACACACAUCAGAGAUACUCACUAGCAGCUGCCAGCGUGAUAAAGUUUUUACAGUGCUGUCCUCAGAGUUGUGUCUGUGCAGUGUUUUCUCCAUGGAACAUGCAGAUUCUCCACCCUUACCUGUAAACUGCAGAUUUGUGCUGGGGGCAAGUCCUCUCUUGAUCUUUCAUAUUUCUUUUCUCUGAAGUACUAGUCUGAAAAGACAGUAUCAGUAAGUUUAUUAAUGACUAAUCUGACGUAUUUCUAGUUUGAAAUAAAUCUUCACAAGGAAACUAGGUAUUUUUUUUUCUGUGGAAGCAUACUUUAGGUUGUAUUGGGUAUAUUCUAGGUAUCUGAAUUGAACAAAUUUGAAAUAGUUAUUUUUGCUACAGCAGGUUGUACUGGAAGGCAUAAUACGAAGUCAGUAAAUGGAGGGCGUUGCAACAUAUUGUAAGGCUGGUAGGUAGAGAGUUGAGAAUGGUCUGCAGAAUAAUACUGAACAGAAAAUAAUAACCUUCUACUGUCUUUGUUAUACCAUAAGUAUUAUUUUAGAAUGCAUUCCAUGGAAAAUACUAUAAUUAGAGGUAUUUAAUUUUAAUCAUGAAGGUAUCGGUGAUCAUAUUUCUGGGUGUUUUAAGAGAUUUUCUAAAAUGACACUGAAAAAUGCAAAGCACCAUGAUGGGUUCAGAUUUCAGAUAUAUGUUCUUUCUUGGGUAUUACAGCUUUUUUGCUGUUUUCAAUUACAUGGUACAACUAAGUGUGUUGUAGUGGUAGAUGCUGGGGAAAA
rnacentral:lncRNA from 1 species